CACAGUUAUUAUGGAUUUAAUAUUGAAGGAUAAUUAUAAAGAAAAAGAAAUAAAGUCACCUUUGGUGAAAAAAUGAGUUAAAAUGACAGUCAAGGGGUAAAAAUGCAGAUAAACAAAGUUAUUUGAAAAGUGAAAGUAAAGUUAGAAAUAUGACUGGAAAAAUAUUCUAGUCCAUUGGGUAAAGUUUGGUAAAGAAUAGAGGUGAUUAGAUAGAUAAACUCUUACCCAGUUAAAUUUCACUUAACCUAUGUAAGUCAAAUUUCACUAAAACGCUCGUAUUCUUCUUCUCCACGCGACGACGAUGCAGAGAGUAAAGAGGGAAGGGGAGAAAAAAAAAGAGAAAAGCUUGUGGGAGCUUCAAUCCUUGAUAACUUGAGUUAGGAUUGAUGAAAUCAAUCCAUUCCAAAGCCUAAAGUGUGUCAAAUUUCAUCCUCUACAAAACCCAUAAGAUUGUUCACCAUGGGAAGCUCUUGGGAAGGAGAUUUCAGCCCUCUAAAUCGCAGGUGUACCUAGGGACUGAAAAAGAUCGGAACCUUCUUGAAGAUAUAUAACUAACUUCUGCCACAAGUAAGCGGAUUGAAAAAGCUUCAAGAGGAACACAGUUAAUUGAAGAGCCUCAUGGGACCAGGACACUAACCGUGGCUAGAGGCAUUAGUAUGAGGAUGUGGAGUUCUGGGUGGUCGGAUGCUACUAUUUGUUUUAGACGUAUUUUUGGAAAAGAUGUAUUGUUGCAUAGUGUUCAUAUUCGAUACAUGUACAUUUAUGUAUUCAGGCAUGAUGAUAUGACUAUGUAGUAUUCAGUUAUGUUAUGUAUUGGAUUGCAUGCUAUUAGAUUUGUGGCACGGAGCCAAGUUCAGCAUGCGCCCAUAGAUGGGUAUCUGAGUAUAUUUGCAUGACUGGUACUUCUGGAAAUAUAUAUUGUUUAAACUGUCUAUCAGGAACUCUUGAGAGUGGGA